AACAACAUUUAAAGAUAUGCCAUGGAUGGGUGUCAUUAUUAAUCAGAUUAUUUUCUGAGCUACACUAGUCAUGCUUCUACAGACUUUUACCAAACAAAUGGAUGGUAUCACGUGUAUUAACACAAAUUUAAAGCACCAACACAAACAUCAUGAAACAAUUAAAAGACAUGUCAACCCAUCUAUGAAAUUGUGACGAUGAACAACAGAGUCUCCAAUGAUGUUCCCACGCAGCCAUUUUUCGAAAGCUGAUUGAUAUAAAAUAUGUUUGUUUUGUCAUUACCUUCUUUGCGUUGUGGUAUUCUGUGGAGGAAAAUCAGUGUUUGAUGCUCGAGUAAAUGUUUUAAGUUUAUCCAGAGAAAGACUGUCAACUUGUCUAUUAGAUUGGAACAUCUGGGACAUCUUAACUCAAAGUCCACACCUUUAAUAUUAUGAUCUACAAAAAAUGAAUGGAUAUUUGCUAAUUCAAAUGUUGCUUUUAUAAUUGAAGGUAGAACAUACGAUUCAGGAAUUUA